AUUGAACGCUGGCGGCAUGCCUUACACAUGCAAGUCGAACGGCAGCGGGGGAGAAGCUUGCUUUUCCUGCCGGCGAGUGGCGAACGGGUGAGUAAUACAUCGGAACGUGCCCUGUAGUGGGGGAUAACUAGUCGAAAGAUUAGCUAAUACCGCAUACGACCUGAGGGUGAAAGUGGGGGACCGCAAGGCCUCAUGCUAUAGGAGCGGCCGAUGUCUGAUUAGCUAGUUGGUGGGGUAAAGGCCUACCAAGGCGACGAUCAGUAGCUGGUCUGAGAGGACGAUCAGCCACGCGGGGACUGAGACACGGCCCAGACUCCGACGGGAGGCAGCAGUGGGGAAUUUUGGACAAGGGGCGAAAGCCUGAUCAAGCAAUGCCGCGUGUGUGAAGAAGGCCUUCGGGUUGUAAAGCACUUUUGUCCGGAAAGAAAUGGCUCUGGUUAAUACCUGGGGUCGAUGACGGUACCGGAAGAAUAAGGACCGGCUAACUACGUGCCAGCCGCCGCCGUAA
rnacentral:rRNA from 1 species